rnacentral:rRNA from 1 species
AUUGAACGCUGGCGGCAUGCCUUACACAUGCAAGUCGAACGGCAGCACGGGAGCAAUCCUGGUGGCGAGUGGCGAACGGGUGAGGAAAGUGUCGGAACGUGCCCAGUCGUGGGGGAUAACGUAGCGAAAGUUACGCUAAUACCGCAUACGAUCUAUGGAUGAAAGCGGGGGAUCGCAAGACCUCGCGCGAUUGGAGCGGCCCAUAUCAGAGUAGGUAGUUGGUGGGGUAAAGGCUCACCAAGCCGACGAUCUGUAGCUGGUCUGAGAGGACGACCAGCCACACUGGGACUGAGACACGGCCCAGACUCCUACGGGAGGCAGCAGUGGGGAAUUUUGGACAAUGGGCGAAAGCCUGAUCCAGCCAUGCCGCGUGCAGGAUGAAGGCCUUCGGGUUGUAAACUGCUUUUGUACGGAACGAAAAGGUUUGGCCUAAUAAGCUGAGCUCAUGACGGUACCGUAAGAAUAAGCACCGGCUAACUACGUGCCAGCCGCCGCUGUAA